GGGGCUGUGGCUCAGCGGUAGAGCACUCACCUAGCAUGUGCGAGUCCCUGGGUUUGAUCCUCAGCACCACA
rnacentral:tRNA from 1 species